UCUGUCUUACCUUCACUAUCUACUUGUUCUGGCUUUCUAUCAAAUGGUCAGAGGAGAUCAAGAUUCACUUCAGUACACAAAGGCACUUUCUUUGCUUGGAAUCGAAUUACAAUGGCUGCAGGUUGAAAGACAUGUCCACUGGAACAGGAUGA